CUGAGCUCUUUAUCUUCUCAUAUGUCAAAUUGAGCUCUUCCUCUACACAUAUGUCACACUGAGCUCUGCCUUCACUCAUUUGUCACAAUGAGCACCCCCUCUACUCAUGUGUCAUAUUGAACCCCUCCUUUGCUCAUUUGUCACACUGAGCUCCUCCUGUACACAUGUAUCACAUUGAGUUCCUCCUCCAUUCAUGUUUUACACUGAGCUCCUCCUUCAUUCAUGUGUUGUACUUAGACCCUCUACUGAUGUCACACUGUGCCCCUCCUCCGCUCAUAUGUCACACUGUGCCCCUCCUCCGCUCAUAUGUCACACUAUGCCCCUCCUCUGCUAAAAUGUCACAUUGACCCCCUCCUCCGCUCAUAUGUCACACUGUGCCCCUCCUCCGCUCAUAUGUCACACUGUGCCCCUCCUCCGCUCAUAUGUCACACUGUGCCCCUCCAUUACUCAGGUGUCACACUGAGCCCAUCUUCCACGCACAUAUACUGAGCCCCUUGUCUACUCACAUGUUACACUGAGCCCCGCCUAUGCUCAUAUGUUGCACAGAGGCCCUCUACCCAUAUGGCACCCUGAGCCACUCAUGUGUCACACUGAGCUCUUCAUGUGCCUAUUGAGAUUCUCCUCUGCUUGUGUAUCAUACUGAGCUCCCCCUCUACUCAUGUGUUACACCGAGUCUCUCUUCUACUCAUAUGUCACUCUGAGCCCCUCCCCUACUCAUGUCCCACUGAGCUCCUCCUCUACUCAUGUGUUAUAGUGAACUCCUUCUCUAUUCAUAUGUCAUACUGUGCUCCUCCUUUAUUCUUAUGUCACACUGAGCUCCUCCUCCACUUCUGUGUCUCACUGAGGCCCUCUUCUAAUCAUGUGACACACUGAGCUCCUACUCUACUCAUGUGUCACACUAUGCUUCUCCUCUAUUCAUGUGUCAUCUGAUCCCUCCUCCACUUAUAUGUCACACUGAGCCCUUCCUCAUGUGUCACACCUAGCCCCUCCACUACUCAUAGGUCACACUGACUCCUGUAAAACCCAUGUGUCAUACUGAGCCCUUUCCCACUUGUAUGUCACAUUGAGCCCCUUACACUAAUAUGUCACACUGAGCCCUUCCACUAAUCAUGUGUUGCACUGAGACUCUGUCAAACUAAUGUACAACAUUGAUUAUCUGUCAAUCCUGUGGGCCAUGCUGGUCCCCUCUUCUAUUCAUGUGUCACAUAGAAUCUUUUCUCCUUUCAUGUUUCACAUGGAGCACCUCCUGCACCCAUGUGUCACAAUGAACUCUUCUCUCACUUAAUGUCACAUGUCCCCCUCCCCAUGAUGUACCACAUCCAAUUUCUCUCCAACCCAUGUGUUACACUGAGCACUCCCCCCACUCCUGUGUCAUACUAAGGCUCUCACUCACUCAUGUGUCACAUAGAGUCUCUCCUCCUCUCCUGUCCCAUGUAGACAUACUGACCC